rnacentral:lncRNA from 1 species
UUACGUUAUUUUCUCGGAUUAAAGGUCGAGCGCAAGAAUAAGAGCUCGUCAAGGAGUCAUUAAUCUGUAGCAAAGCUUUGCUAUGAGGUGGGCAUUACUUUCAUAUAUAUCAAAUGAGUUUAAAUGUUACGUUCAAUCAAGUUAUUUCAUGACUAAAUUAAUUGAAGUUAUUUCAAAUAUUGUCUUGCCAUAAAAUAUUUAAAUUUCAGUAUGAUAUCUAUCUGAUGUGACUUUUAUUAUGUAAUCGAAUUCGGGUCCUGAGCAGUUGAUAGCUAUCCUGCCAGGGCUAGUGUACACCAGUGACCGUGAGUCAUCUAGCGGGUUGGCCGGUCAAGUGACCGUGAGAGGUGGCCACCUCUCCGGCACACAGUUCCAGAUAUGAUAGAUUACAAGAGAACUUAGACUGCAGUCGAACUUUAAGAAUCACAAAUGAAUUUAGUAAGCUUGGGCCUUUUAGCGAAAAACUCCCUUGCUGUACUGUUUAUGAUGGCAUGACAAUUUACAGUUUUGAAGCAUGUGUUUUUAUACUUAGGCAUACGUGCCCACUGAGUACUUUUGUACUCAAGCCCUGCAUAUAUUUCUAAAUGUGCAGGUUGAGCAGCUGCCGAUGGUGAUGAAGUGACGAGCGGGACUCUUUUGUUUUAUUAUGUAUUAAUGAACUCUAGGGUUACAUGUCUUCAUACAUGUAAUCAGAACCUUAUUCCGCUGCGUACUCAGAAGUUUUAUGUUAUUUUGGAUAAGUCGGAGUUAUCCGAAUUUACUAGUUAUUUGAGUCUAUACGACUAAAACUCCGUUAUAUUAUAAAUAUCCAUGGUGUUAACAUUGAUGAAAUACGAUCCUUUCUUGUUUGAUUAUUCCCCUUUCUACCCCGCUUCUAAUCUCCCUCCAUUAGUCACGGUUUCCCCGGCUUAAUUAUCCUUAAUUA